rnacentral:antisense_RNA from 1 species
CCAAUGUUCCAGGUGUGGAAAGGGAAGGGACUAUAUUUCAUCCCCCUGUGUGCACCCAGCCCUGGCCCAGAAGUCUCUCAAUCGCUACUGAGUGAAUGCACGAAGCCAGUCCAUUAUCCCAGUUCUCAGUGAGCUCUUCACCAUACAGUUGAUAGUUUGCUUCUAUACCCUAGAAUGCUGUUCUCCAAUUGCUUCUGCUCAUCAAAUCUCCUUUCCCAACACUUCAGAAAUUCCCUGAGGAUCCAGAUUACAUUUCCAACAUUUUCAUUCACAUAACACUGUCUGGGACCCAGCAAACUCUCAAAUGUCUGCUCUACUUACUCCCAGUUAAAUACAUUUCGUUUUCCCUCUGCUAAAGAUCUCACUCAGGGUCUGCCAACACGAUGCCACAAGUACCCAAGAGGAGCAGCUCAAAAGCAUUAUCAGGAUUCAAAGCAUUAGUUUAAUCUUAGGCAUUGAGAAAUGCUAAAUGUCACAUAUCAUUAAUAAAUAAAUCUUAAACACCCAGA